rnacentral:rRNA from 1 species
AGAACGAACGCUGGCGGCGUGCUUAACACAUGCAAGUCGAACGCGAAAGGGACUUCGGUCCUGAGUAAAGUGGCGCACGGGUGAGUAACGCGUAGAUAACCUGUCUUCAUGUCUGGAAUAAUACGCCGAAAGGGGUACUAAUACCGGAUAUUCUUGCUUUUCAUAAGUUAUGCAAGCAAAGGUGGCCUCUGCAUAUGCUACUGCAUGAAGAGGGGUCUGCGUACCAUUAGCUAGUAGGUGGGGUAAUGGCCUACCUAGGCGACGAUGGUUAGCGGGUCUGAGAGGAUGAUCCGCCACACUGGCACUGGAACACGGGCCAGACUCCUACGGGAGGCAGCAGUGAGGAAUAUUGCGCAAUGGGGGAAACCCUGACGCAGCGACGCCGCGUGAGUGAGGAAAGGCCCUUCGGGUCGUAAAGCUCUGUCAAGAGGAAAGAAGUGUACAAUGGCUAAUACCUGUUGUAUUUGACGGUACCUCUAAAGGAAGCACCGGCUAACUCCGUGCCAGCAGCUGC